GACCCGGCGACCCGGGGCGGCCGCGACCGUGGGCGGCGGGUCUGGUGCGGCGGGCGGCGCGCGGCCUGUCCUUUGCUGGGGGCUCCGGCCACGCGGGCGAGCGGGCGGGCGCUGCGCCGCUGGCAACGUGUCGCUCGAACGCUCCUACCCCAUCCGCAUGCCUUACAAGGCUCGAAAUUAAAAAUAAAAAGAAUUACGAUGAGGGCGAGGCUUGCGAGGGGGAGAAGAGAUUCCACUUCUCCCCAACUACGGCGUCCUGGCGGGACUCCCGGGGGCUGUCCCCAGCCGUCCUCCAGCGCCCACCUCCGCACUGGGAGAAAAAGCACAAAGACCCCGCAGCCUCCCGCCCAGGUGGCUGCUCCCCUUGUCUGUCUGCCCUGCCGGCGCGUGUCUGCCGGGAGGGAGGGUGGCCAUUACAGAUUACGAGCAAGAGGCCCGCCCCGAAGGCCAAACCGUGUGGCACACAGUGGGUUGUGCUCAGCGUCCCAGACGGCUUCUAACUCUCCGGUGAAAACAAGCCUCAAGUCCUUCACCCUUAGAGUUCUCAAGAACCCCACCGACAGCUAGCAGGGCCACGCUGCCAGCCACUCGACCACCACUCCAAGUCUUUAGGCACCUCCAAAGAUCGGCCACCCGCUGUCACAGCUGCCUUUGGAGACGAUGAAAGGGGAGUCCAACCGGACACCCUGGUGGUGACAUAAAUAAAAGUGUGAUUGCACACCACCCCCAGGUAACCGAAUCAGCAGGUUCCCCUACGGAAGAGAAGCCCAGGUCGUACUGCCGGCCACCCAUGCUCCCCUCCCUCCAACCACCUGAACCAGAGGACAGGCCUGAGCUCUCUGAAAACUGCAGAAAAACCAGCCAGAAGGCCUAGAGUGAUCUCCCUCAGAAACCCCUCCAGCUUGUAGGACCUUGUAACCUAGCCAAAGGCAAGAAAAAUCCCACAAGGCUUCUGAAAUUUUUUAAUUUCCCCAAAUAAGGAAACCCCAUUCAAUCUGAGAGUCAUCGCCCUUAACAAAGCUCCAAGAUGGCGGGUGGUAAGUUUUCAGAAGGGACGCUCACCACAGACAUUCUUACUUACCAGUGCUAAGGCAAACCCCACCCACUCGGGAGAUGAUUCAGAGGUGAAGGCCCGGGGGCAGCCUGAGGUCAUCCAGCCCCACCCCUUUAAUUACUGAGCCCUGGACUGACCUUCCCCAAGUCAUGGAGCAAAAGGUGUGAGGUGAGAGAGACCAACUAGAUAUCUCAAGUCUCUAGAGCCUGAGAUUCUAAAGGUCAGCGCUGGUAGCAAAGCCAGGAUGGGAGCUCGGUCUAGGGCAAACACCUCCAUCAGCCUAUCAGUUGAAGGUGGUGAAUCGCUCAUCAAAGGAGCCGGGGAACCUUUGUCCAAGCCCUUGCUGCCUUGGAGAGGAAGAAAUAGCCCUCUCCCAUCCUCCCCUUCCAUUGCCAGGUCUCAGCCCUCCCUCUCCCAAGCACACUCACACCAUAGCUAGAAAUCUCUACAUGAAGUUGAGGUGACAGAUAUUUCUAUCCCUGUCCUUUCCUUCUUCCUCACAGCUCAAAAUGAGGGGAUGUGAGCACAUGGUUAUUGCACAAGGACUAUGUCAGCCUCAAGACUUUCAUGCAGGCUCCUGGCUUCCAGUGUCUGAACCAGCCAUCCUAGGUGAACAAAGACUUAAAGACACAGCAAAGCCUUGGAUGAGAAGCCCUAAGCAGAGGGUGGAUGUGGGGAGGGCAGCAGGAGAUAUGAGAACGUAGCAGCCUGUAGAGGAAGUGGUGGAGCAGCCCUGCCUGAUGUGGAGAGCAGGGGACACGUGGCUGCCUGGCUGUCAGAAAUGGGGGAUCUUUCCAGACCUCUGCUGAAAGCUUAGAGGGGCCUCUCCACCUUAGAAUUCCACACAUCCCUAGCUCUGGGACAGGCACCCUGACAAAAGGGGGCAGGAGCCAAAUUCGCUGAGGAACAGCCACAUUCUCAAUUCCCUUCCUGAACUUUCAGGAAGUACCCUUGAGCCUUAAACCUUGAGAAGUCUCACAGAAACAAGUGGAACGGUGCAAACCAUUGUUUUAUAAACCCAGUUCACAGAAGAAUCCUAUGUGUGCUCUAGAACUCACUGGGCAACACCUGUUUCUGCCUGGGGAUGUCACGGGACCAUUUCUGCAGCCCCAUCUGGGCAGGGGCUGAGAGCACGAAGUAUCUGGGAGCGGGAGCCCCCGGGUUCUAGCCUAGUCAGUCCCCAGUCAGUCUGAGACCCCAGGUUCCUCCUCUGUGGAGAGGAGUGCCCCAUCCCUCGGUGUUCUGUGCUUUCUUCUCCAGCAUACUUCUCUGCCUCUCCCCCAUCGCUGGUUAUCUGACCAACAGGCUUAUUUAUGAGUAGUUCCUUACAGCCCGGUGAUCCCUCCUGAGGCAGGAACAGCUCGAGGGAGUGAACCAGGGCUGCAGGUGAGAAGGCCUGAGGGACUUCCAAAUACAAGGAGGAAUCUGAGGCAGGCCUGGCAAGAUGGCCUUCUGAACAGGAUCCUUCAAACUGACUCCAGUGCAAAAGCUACCCUGAGAGGGAACCUGGGCCAGCCUGGGACAGGCAGCAGAGCUGGGCUGCGUGGAACCAGGGAGUCCUCAGGUCGUUUUCCUCUUCAUCCGUCUCUCUCCCCCUGAGACCACCUUGCCUUUCCUACUUCCCUCUACACAUCUGUUCCCCUCUCUUCCCUAAAGGCUGGUUUCCUCUGCCCACCUAUGACCACACACGGCCGCCAGCGCCAAGUCCAGAAAACUUAUGAUUUCCAGCACCUACCACCUUCAGACUGCCCCAGCCAUCAGUAGCUCAGAUUCUCAAGGAGAUAGUCUGAUGGGCUUGGCCUAAUUCAGAAGGAAGAGGACCCAGGACCACAGCCGGUACACCCUCCAUCUCUUUAUCUGAUAGAAAAUCUGUGCCCAGCUGAGGCACUCUUCCUGGGCAGAACUACUGCUUCCCCUGCCCUGCCAGGGAUCCUCCCUGCAGUCAGAAGUUUGUCCUAAAAGAGGCUGCCCCUCUGAGCUCUUGGAUUCCAUUUACCUACAGUCAGUUCUCAUUCCUUGUGGGAGUUGCGUUCUAUGAAGUCUCCAUAAAUACUGAACUAGCAAUGCUGAACCACCGCUCCCAGGGGAAGUAUCAGGUUAGGUUCCUGCAAGCCACUGGUCACAACAUUUUCAUGAUCAAUUCAUCGAUCAACUCAUCUGAUCAAUUCGUUACCUCAUUUUCUCUGUUUCCACUUAAAGAUACCUUAUUUAAUAUAUUUUGUUAAUUCGUUAACAUUGAGCUCAUGGCCGACAGCACUGUGACACAUGUCUGAAGGAAGCUUAUCAAACACAAGAAAGCUGGUCUUUUCUCCGCACACAAUCAGUUUCUGGCACGUAGGAACACAAGACAGUGCUUCAGCACUGUGACUGGGUGCCAUUUUAAACAGCAAAAUCACCAACCAAAAGUACCCCCACAAACGUGACACUAAACAGACAGCAAAAGGGCACUUGUUUACAGUGUGAGGGCUGAAACAGGCAAAGAGACACUUUGUUCCGUCUCAGCUGGGAAUGUGUGUGGGGUGACUCAAAUUUGCUGCUACUCUGUGCAUGUCCACGAAUGACCACGAGGUCCCCACAGUUAUUGAUUUUGUGAUUCCAAAUAAAUGCUACAAGUAGGAGAAUCUGCAAAUAUGAAACCCAUGAUUAGUGAAGGUCAGUUGUAUGUAACAGUCAUCUACAUAGCAGCAUAUUCAGCGCCAGUGAGGGUUCCAGGGCUUUGCAAAUACUCACUCUUUCAGCCUCACAUUAACCGUGUGAGAUAGGUACUAUUAGUAUGCCCAUCUUAUAAACCUAAGGCACAGAGAGGUUUAGCCACCUGCCCAAGGUCACACAGCUUGUAAGUGAUAGGGCUGGGAUUUGAACCCACAGAGUCUGGCUCCAGAGUUUGGAGCCAUGUUCCAGGUAAGAACCAAGGGAAGCUUCGGAUCAAUCCAGAGCAUUUGGUUUCAUCUUAAAGAACCUCUUAGGGGUCAAGGAUGUGAAGAGAGGAAGAAUUAUGACCAAGAGAUGGAAGGGAAAAGGGACUUGGAGUAAAAAGGGACUACUUGCCGAAACAGCAGAAACAAUCACCAUCAGCAAAGUUCAGCUUCCAUGUCAUAAUCAAUAUGGUAUGGUAUACCUUU